AAAUCCAGGGGAACACAGUCUCUGAGUGAGAAGGGUUCGUGGCCUUAGAUCCAGCACUGCCUCCUGCCCAUCGCAGAGUGAGCCCUGUACAUCAUCACCAAGUGAGGUGCUUUAGAGCAGACUCCCGCACCAUAUAGACCCUCCCUCCAGUGUCUGGUUUCUGCUUGAGAACGUUCACAUUCAGGAAGCCCUCCACUCUGGCAGCCCAUUCCAUUGUUGAAUCCUUCCAGCUCCUAGAGACCUUUCCUUCCACACCUAACUUCCUUGUAACCUCACCACGGGCCCAGCUUCUGCCCUUAGGAGCUAGGAUGAAAUCAACUGCACAGACCCAAUGCCAGGUCUCUAGGUUGGAGACAUCCCAGCUGAAUCCUGGCCCCCUUCUCUGGCCUUCAUUAUCCCUGUUCCUUCAGUCACCACUCAGGUGCAUUUGUUUUGAGACUACCUCGUCACUGUAUUGCAGAGGCAAGACUGGCACCAGUGGUUAAGCAAUAAUAUGAGCCACCUUAAGACUAGGAGUCAAAUUAGUUCUGUAGCUAUACAAGUGGGCGUGGACUUGUACAUGCACAUGUGCGUGCAAGUGCACCAUUAUGGGAUAGCAGCAUGUUGCCACUGACAGGACAAGAGUGUUCUCCUUGUUUCUACAGGCUUAUCUGAGCCCUCAAAAGGAUUAACAAAGAAACCAACACAUAGGCCAUUCUUCUCCAUGGAGUGCCUUGAUUAGGCCUCUUGAACAUGGAGAGGGACAGAUGUAGGCACUCAAGGAAGACAUGGAAGAGGGAGUGAGGCUCGCGCUCACCUUGAACCUGGACUCUGGGUUCUUUGGCAUAGAAAAUACCUUGAAAGCUGUACGGGUACCCAUUGUCUGUAUCCAAACCUGAUGUGUGCUGGGACCAUUUCAGCGACUGAACUACUAGAAAUCGAUUUCUGAGCACUAACACCCAUCCAGGUCAGGAAUCCAGCAACUGAACCAAUGAAUGCAGCCAAAGAGCGAGAAAUAAAUUUCCUGUUUUCCCACUA